UACGAAGGGGGCUAGCGUUGCUCGGAAUCACUGGGCGUAAAGCGCACGUAGGCGGAUUGUUAAGUCAGGGGUGAAAUCCUGGAGCUCAACUCCAGAACUGCCUUUGAUACUGGCGAUCUUGAGUCCGGGAGAGGUGAGUGGAACUGCGAGUGUAGAGGUGAAAUUCGUAGAUAUUCGCAAGAACACCAGUGGCGAAGGCGGCUCACUGGCCCGGGUACUGACGCUGAGGUGC
rnacentral:rRNA from 1 species